UGGGGAAUCUUGGGCAAUGGGCGAAAGCCUGACCCAGCGACCCCGCGUUGGGGAUGAAGCCCUUCGGGGUGUAAACCCAUGUUGUAGGGGACGAAGAAAGUGACGGUACCCUAAGAGGAAGCCCCGGCUAACUACGUGCCAGCAGCCGCGGUAAGACGUAGGGGGCGAGCGUUGUCCGGAAUUACUGGGCGUAAAGGGCACGCAGGCGGUGCGCCAAGUCGAGGGUGUAAAGUUACGGCUCAACCGUGACAUUGCAAUCUAUACUGGUGCGCUGUAGUGCAGGAGAGGGAAGUGGAAUUCCCGGUGUAGCGGUGAAAUGCGUUGUAUCGAGAGGAACUCCAGUGGCGAACGCUGCUUCCUGGCACUGAACUGACGCUCAUGUGCGAAAGCCAGCGGAGCGAACC
rnacentral:rRNA from 1 species